CCUAAACCACAUCUGAAAUAAUGAACACCCUUAAACAUCAAAUCAUCACAUAAAAUAUUUUUUAUUACAUCUUAUAAUACAGUUAUCAAACUCUUAAACAUUUGCAUCAAACAUUAAUUUCCCUAUAAAUAGCAGUCUAAAAUGGAGAUUAUGCACCACUCAUCCUAUAAUUUUAUCUAAUAAAUUAUCCAAAAUGAAAGCAUUAUUUUUCUUACUAUGCAUUCUCUUAGCUUCCAUUCUCGCUUUUCCCACUUGUAUCAUGGCCCGAGAACUUGCUGAGAAGGGGCUUAAAUCAUCUCCAACUCAGUGUUCAAGUGAUCCUAACCGGAGCUGUGCUCCUCCUCAUAAGUGCCCAAUUUACAAGCGACACUGCUAAUAAUAUUAUGAUUCAGGAAUAUUAUGUUUAAUAAAUUUGCCAACUUUUGUGUUUUGUUGGUAAAGUUUGUGUUUGAUUGAAGUGACUGUGAUGUAAUUUUCUACUCCUUGAGAUAUGAAAAUAAUAAAGAAAAGCUUGCGUACA